CCCGCUGAACUUAAGCAUAUCAAUAAGCGGAGGAAAAGAAACCAACAGGGAUUCCCCUAGUAACGGCGAGUGAAGCGGGAAAAGCUCAAUUUUAAAAUCUCACAGGUUUCCUGUGCGAAUUGUAGUUUAUAGAAAUGUUUUCUUGGGAUAGUUUGGAUCAAAGUCCGUUGGAAUACGGCGCCAUAGAGGGUGAGAGCCCCGUCUGAUCUGAGCAGGUUCCUAUAUGAUACAUUUUCAAAGAGUCGGAUAGUUUGGGAAUGCUGUCCAAAAUGGGUGGUAAAUACCAUCUAAAGCUAAAUACUGGCGAGAGACCGAUAGCGAACAAGUACCGUGAGGGAAAGAUGAAAAGAACUUUGAAAAGAGAGUUAAAUAGUACGUGAAAUUGUCAAAAGGGAAACGCUUGACACCAGUAUUGGAUAUUGCAAAUCAGCCUUACGGUGCACUUUGCAAUGUCCGGGUCAGCAUCAGUUUGGUUCAAAGUAAAAUGCGGUAGUAAGGUAUCCCCUCGGGGUGUUAUAGACUGCCGUUAUGCUUUGAGCUGGACUGAGGACUGCAGCUCUGCAUUGGGGAAUUUGCAGCUCUGAAAGAGCAGUUUGCAAACAACUUGUUGAUUGCAACCUGUUUCCGAUGAACCUGUAGAGUAUCACUCUGAGCUUAGGAUGCUGACGAAAUGGUUUUAAGCGACCCGUCUUGAAACACGG
rnacentral:rRNA from 1 species